rnacentral:rRNA from 1 species
CGUAGGGUGCGAGCGUUGUCCGGAUUUAUUGGGCGUAAAGAGCUUGUAGGCGGUUUGUCGCGUCGGGAGUGAAAACUCAGGGCUUAACCCUGAGCCUGCUUCUGAUACGGGCAGACUUGAGGAAGGUAGGGGAGAUUGGAAUUCCUGGUGAAGCGGUGGAAUGCGUAGAUAUCAGGAGGAACACCAGUGGCGAAGGCGGAUCUCUGGACCUUUCCUGACGCUGAGAAGCGAAAGCGUGGGGAGCAAACAGGCUU